AGAGUUUGAUCAUGGCUCAGGACGAACGCUGGCGGUGCGCCUUAUGCAUGCAAGUCGAGCGAAGCUUUUCAGUAGUUUACUACAGAAAAUGACUGAGCGGCGAACGGGUGAGUAACGCGUGAGCAAUCUACCUUAGUUACAGGGAUAGCCCGAGGAAACUCGGAUUAAUACCUGAUAUUCUUUAAAUUUCGCAUGAAAUUAAAAGGAAAGGUCAGCCGAACUAAGAUGAGCUCGCGUUCUAUCAGCUAGUUGGUAAGAUAAAAGCUUACCAAGGCUACGACGGAUAGCUGGUCUGAGAGGACGAUCAGCCACACUGGGACUGAGACACGGCCCAGACUCCUACGGGAGGCUGCAGCAGGGAAUAUUGCGCAAUGAGCGAAAGCUUGACGCAGCGACACCGCGUGUGGGAUGACGGAUCUAGGUUUGUAAACCACUUUCAGGAGGGAAGAAAAUGACGGUACCUCCACAAGAAGCCCCGGCCAACUACGUGCCAGCAGCCGCGGUAAUACGUAGGGGGCGAGCGUUGUCCGGAUUUAUUGGGCGUAAAGAGCUCGUAGGCGGUUCAACAAGUCGUUCGUGAAAGUUUAGGGCUCAACCCUGAAAUGUCGAUCGAUACUGUUGUGACUAGGAUACGGUAGAGGUGAGUGGAAUUCCGAGUGUAGCGGUGAAAUGCGUAGAUAUUCGGAGGAACACCAAUUGCGAAGGCAGCUCACUGGGCCGCUAUCGACGCUGAGGAGCGAAAGCUAGGGGAGCAAACAGGAUUAGAUACCCUGGUAGUCCUAGCUGUAAACGAUGGAUACUAGACGUAGGAACUGGAUUGACGGUUUCUGUGUCGCAGCUAACGCGUUAAGUAUCCCGCCUGGGGAGUACGGUCGCAAGACU
rnacentral:rRNA from 1 species